ensembl:lncRNA
GGGGGGUGGAGGAGGAGGAGGAGGAGGAGGGAUGUACCAGGGAAAGGGCGAGCGAGCAGGCGGGAGAGAGAGGCAGAGUCUCAGUGCACUGCACUCGCAGCGUUCAGUUGCUGAGCAGAGAGGAGGCGAGAGGGAGAGAGACGCAGAGAGCGAUAGACUGCAUUCCAGCUGAACAAAUCCAACCUUUUGGCAGAGCAGCAGCCAGCGGUGUCUACCUGCCUUGCUACCUGUCUGUCUGUCUCUGCCUGUCUGGCUCCGGCGUUGAUACCGGGAGCAUCCUCCCCCCUCCUCCCCCAUUCUCUCCCCUCCAUGGGUGGAGGUGCUCAGCUCUGCUUCUAGCAGACCAGGAGGAGACCAGGAGGAGACCAGGAGGAGACCAGGAGGACUCGGGGACUGGUGGUCUGCCAGGUCCCAGCAGGUGUCCCCGGAGCCCAGCAGAACACUCGGGGUCCCCCUGGAGCCGGUGGCCUGCAGAGACCAGCCGGUCCUCUCUGGAGACGGAACUACGGAGCCGGAGAUCAGGACUAAAGUUCUGUCACCACGGCUUUGGAACAGGCUCUGAUCCGCUUUACUGGUUUUGGAUUUUCUCUUUGUGGCGGAGCGGCGAGCGUCUUGUGGAAUAUAGAGCUGGACGCCGCAGAAGGUCGUAGUGACGUCAUAGUGAUGUCCUAGUGACGCCAUAAGGACAUCAAAGUCACCUUUGACAUCGCAGGAGGCCAGGGUUCACUGAGGCAUCAGGUAAGAGACGCACACACACACACACACACACACACACACACACACACACACACACACACACACACACACACACACACACACACACACACACACACACACACACACACACACACACACAGACACAUUGUGAUCUGGGAUCCUUUGUAAAGUGGUGGUACAUCCAACACAUUUGCUCUCUGAACCAGAUGUGAGGCGAUACAUACAUGAUACAACCGGUGUGAGAAAAGCUAAAGAUAGGAUCAGUAGGUUAGCUCAUGGCCUCUUCAACACCUCCACAGAAUAGAAGACAUCAGGCAUAUUUAGCAACCGAGGAAACGCGUUAGCAACAGAUAAAAACAGCAACAAUUGAAACAGGUUAGCAACAACUGAAACAGGUUAGCAACAACUGAAACACGUUAGCAACAACUGAAACAGGUUAAGAACAACUGAAAAAGGUUAGCCACAACUGAAACCUGUUAGCAACCGAUAAAACUGUUAAGCAACAACUGAAACAGGUUAGCAACAAAUUAAACAAGUUAACAACAACUGCAACAGGUUAGCAACAACUGAAACACUUUAGCAACCGAUACAACUGUUUAGCAACAACUGAAACAGGUCAGCAACAACUGAAACAGUUUAGCAAAAACUGAAACAGGUUAGCAACAACUGAAACAGGUUAACAACAACUGAAACAGGUGAGCAACAGAUGGUAGUUUAAAUAGAUUGUUAUCUAAGGUGCUGGAUGGGUCAAUGAAACGGACAUUAGAAAUUAUCUUCCAAGGCUAACAUAAAAAAGUCAUACAUUUUAGAUGCUCGUAUUUAAAUCAAUGUUAUUGCUUGGAAGGUUGCUUGGUAUAUAGGUAUUCUCCCGAAGUAAAUCUUCAUCGAGAUUUAGCCUAAAUUCUGUGUGACAACAAGAGUUGGUUGCAGAUGUGGCGACGCAAACCAAAUGUCACAAGCCCUUAGAGAUAAACCCUGUAUUCUACAACACACGGGGAGAUAACAUAUAAAGGCAGUCUGAAUGUACUCUCAUAUAGAAGAUACACAUGAAUGAAGGACCAAAUGCUAUAUCAAUGUGUUAUAUAACACACUGAGGAAUUGAUUAAAGGAAGUAUUAAUUCUGAUGCAUUAUUUGAUAUAAAACACAGCUGAUUUAGUGCCAAUAUCAUCUGAAUGUAUCCUAUAAAACCGGUGAAUGUAUUCCAGAUAAAACAGGUGUAGGCAUUCUAUAAAACAGGUGAAUGUAUUCUAUAUUAAACAGGUGAAGGUAUUCUAUAAAACAGGUGAAUGUAUUCUAUAAAACAUGUGAAUGUAUUCUAUAAAACAGGUGAAUGUGUCUAUAAAACAUGUGAAUGUAUUCUAUAAAACAGGUGAAUGUGUCUAUAAAACAGGUGACUGUAUUCUAUAAAACAGGUGAAUGUGUCUAUAAAACAGGUGACUGUAUUAUAUAAAACAGGUGACUGUGUUCUAUAAAACAGGUGAAUACAUUCUAUAAAAUAGGUGAAUGUAUUCUACAAACAGGUGGCUCUAUAACUGUCCCUGUGUCUCAGACUGAGCCCAGCCAGGGCUGGUGUCGGUGUUAGCAGUAAUGGAAAAAUGUGUCCUCCAAUCAGCGGUCGGUUCUCCGUCUGCGUCUCCGUUAGAACGUGGUGAUGAAGUGGCUGUUAGCCCUUCCGGACCCUCCUGACCCCGGGUAAUGGGGGCCGCGGCAUCGGACGAACGCUGAGCGUGAGACACUGAAACUCUCUCCAGUGCCUCCUCUUUGGGGUCGAAAUUAUCUGCUGUGAGGGUUCCUCCUUAAAGCAUCCGCUCGGCUGAGCUGUGACUACCAUCGCUCUGAGAGAUUACAAACGGCCGCAUUAAUAACCCAGCAGGAGAGUGCGAGAUGGAGGGAGUUAGCAGGAGAGCGCUAGCAGGAGAGAGCUAGUUCUCUGCGGCACAGGGAUGGUGAGCAGGGCUGGAGACGGAUCACUAUCAUAGUUCUGAAGAGUGAAACACUGCUCACUACCAUAGUGCUGUAGAGCUCAUAAACAUAGAGUUGUAGAGCUCACCACCAUAGUGCUGUAGACUGCUCACCACCAUAGUGCUGUAGAGCUCACCACCAUAGUGCUGUAGAGCUCACAAA